rnacentral:rRNA from 1 species
CAGUCGCCGCGGUAAUACGAAGGGGGCUAGCGUUGCUCGGAAUCACUGGGCGUAAAGCGCACGUAGGCGGCUUUCUAAGUCAGGGGUGAAAUCCUGGAGCUCAACUCCAGAACUGCCUUUGAUACUGGAGAGCUCGAGUUCGGGAGAGGUGAGUGGAACUGCGAGUGUAGAGGUGAAAUUCGUAGAUAUUCGCAAGAACACCAGUGGCGAAGGCGGCUCACUGGCCCGAUACUGACGCUGAGGUACGAAAGCGUGGGGAGCAAACAGGAUUAGAUACCCCGGUAGUCCCUGUCUCUUAUAC